rnacentral:rRNA from 1 species
GUGGGGAAUAUUGGACAAUGGGCGAAAGCCUGAUCCAGCCAUGCCGCGUGUGUGAAGAAGGUCUUCGGAUUGUAAAGCACUUUAAGUUGGGAGGAAGGGCAGUAAGCUAAUACCUUGCUGUUUUGACGUUACCGACAGAAUAAGCACCGGCUAACUUCGUGCCAGCAGCCGCGGUAAUACGAAGGGUGCAAGCGUUAAUCGGAAUUACUGGGCGUAAAGCGUGCGCAGGCGGUUAUAUAAGACAGAUGUGAAAUCCCCGGGCUCAACCUGGGAACUGCAUUUGUGACUGUAUAGCUAGAGUACGGUAGAGGGGGAUGGAAUUCCGCGUGUAGCAGUGAAAUGCGUAGAUAUGGGAAGGAACACCAGUGGCGAAGGCGACUACCUGGACUGAUACUGACACUGAGGUGCGAAAGCGUGGGGAGCAAACAGGAUUAGAAACCCCUGUAGUCC